GACGAACGCUGGCGGCGUGCUUAACACAUGCAAGUCGAGCGGAAAGGCCCUUCGGGGUACUCGAGCGGCGAACGGGUGAGUAACACGUGAGUAAUCUGCCCUUCACUCUGGGAUAGCCACCGGAAACGGUGAUUAAUACCGGAUAUGACCACCGUGGGCAUCCACUGGUGGUGGAAACUUUUUUGGGUGGGGGAUGUGCUCGCGGCCUAUCAGCUUGUUGGUGGGGUAAUGGCCUACCAAGGCUUCGACGGGUAGCCGGCCUGAGAGGGUGACCGGCCACACUGGGACUGAGACACGGCCCAGACUCCUACGGGAGGCAGCAGUGGGGAAUAUUGGACAAUGGGCGGAAGCCUGAUCCAGCAACGCCGCGUGAGGGAUGACGGCCUUCGGGUUGUAAACCUCUUUCAGCACCGACGAAGCGCAAGUGACGGUAGGUGCAGAAGAAGGACCGGCCAACUACGUGCCAGCAGCCGCGGUAACAC
rnacentral:rRNA from 1 species